rnacentral:rRNA from 1 species
UGAACGCUGGCGGCGUGCUUAACACAUGCAAGUCGAACGAGGUCCAACCUUCGGGUGAAGACCGAGUGGCGAACGGGUGAGUAACACGUGGGGAACCUGCCCUUCUCUCUGGGAUAACUCCGGGAAACCGGAGCUAAUACCGGAUACUCCUUGCGGACCGCAUGGUCUGCUCGGGAAAGCUCCGGCGGAGAAGGAUGGCCCCGCGGCCCAUUAGCUUGUUGGUGGGGUAACGGCCCACCAAGGCGACGAUGGGUAGCCGAGCUGAGAGGCUGAUCGGCCACACUGGGACUGAGACACGGCCCAGACUCCUACGGGAGGCAGCAGUGGGGAAUCUUGCGCAAUGGGCGAAAGCCUGACGCAGCAACGCCGCGUGCGGGAUGAAGGCUCUCGGGUCGUAAACCGCUUUCAGCAGGGAUGAAAAUGACAGUACCUGCAGAAGAAGCCCCGGCUAAAUACGUGCCAGCAGCCGCGGUAAUACGUAUGGGGCAAGCGUUAUCCGGAUUCAUUGGGCGUAAAGCGCGCGUAGGCGGCUUGUUAAGUCAGGCGUGAAAUCCGGGGGCUCAACCCGCGGCUUGCGUCUGAAACUGGCAGGCUUGAGUCUGGUAGAGGAAAGUGGAAUUCCUGGUGUAGCGGUGAAAUGCGCAGAUAUCAGGAGGAACACCAGUGGCGAAGGCGGCUUUCUGGGCCACGACUGACGCUGAGGCGCGAAAGCUAGGGGAGCGAACAGGAUUAGAUACCCUGGUAGUCCUAGCCGUAAACGAUGGGCACUAGGUGUGGGGGGUCAUCGACUCCCUCCGUGCCGAAGCUAACGCANUAAGUGCCCCGCCUGGGGAGUACGGCCGCAAGGCUAAAACU